CAGGGCGACGCGGGUGCCACGAGCAGCACCCACGCGCGUGCCGGCCAACCCCGCUUUUUUCAUCCCCAAAAAAGAGCCAAAAAGGAGCCUGGAAACGGGAGCGGCGGCUUUAUUCCCCGCCGGAUGCGGGUGCAAGGCCUCGGCGCCGGGCGGGAUGGGUGCAGCCGCUCGGCUCCUACCAGCCGCGCACGGGGUGCCAGAGAGCCACCACCUUGCCCUCCGCGUGCACGUAGUAGACGGGGUGCAUGGCGGCGGUGGCGCAGGCCUGCGGGCGGGAGAGGCGGCGUCGGCGUCGGCGCGGGUGCGCGGCGGGGUGCGGGGCAGGGUGCGCGGUGUUGCGCGUGGGAUGGGUGCACGGCGCGGUGCACGGCACGGGGCGCACGGUGCGGGUGCGUGGCGCGGUGCACGGUGCAGGCACACGGCGGGGUGCACGGUGGGCUGCACGGCGCGGUGCGUGGUGCAGGUGCACGGUGGGGUGCACGGCACGGUGCAUGGUGCAGGUGCACAGCGYGGUGCAUGGCACGGGGCGCACGGUGCAGGCGCGUGGCGCGGUGCAUGGUGCAGGUGCACGGUGGGGUGCAUGGCACAGGGUGCCUGGCAUGGUGCAUGGUGCAGGUGCAUGGCGCGGUGCAUGGCACGGGGUGCACGGUGCGGGUGCUUGGCGCGGUGCACGGUGCAGGCACAUGGCAGGGUGCACGGCGGGGUGCAUGGCGGGGUGCACGAUGGGGUGCACGGCACAGGGUGCCCGGCACGGUGCACGGUGCAGAUGCAUGAUGGGGUGCACGGCACAGGGUGCCUGGUGCGGUGCACGGUGCAGGUGCACGAUGGGGUGCAUGGCGCAGGGUGCCCGGCACGGUGCACGGUGCAGAUGCACGAUGGGGUGCACGGCACAGGGUGCCUGGUGCGGUGCACGGUGCAGGUGCACGAUGGGUUGCACAGCACAGGGUGCCCGGCACGGUGCACGGUGCAGGUGCACGAUGGGUUGCACGGCACAGGGUGCCCGGCACGGUGCACGGUGCAGGUGCACGAUGGGGUGCAUGGCGCAGGGUGCCUGGCACGGUGCACGGUGCAGGUGCACGAUGGGGUGCAUGGCACAGGGUGCCCGGCACGGUGCACGGUGCAGAUGCACAGUGGGUUGCACAGCACAGGGUGCCCGGCACGGUGC
rnacentral:lncRNA from 1 species